GUUCAUAUCUGUGGGGCAGCUGGAGGGGGGACCCCAGAAAGCAUGGAGGCGACAUCGGGCACGUCAGGGUACCAGCGUGGCCGGCAGCCCCAGCGCAGCUGCAGCAGGAUGAGAUUGUCUUUCAGCUUCCCCAGGGAACAGAGCAAAAGCCAGCAGCAGCUGAACACCAGCAUGAAGCGAAGUAAAAGUCUCCCAGAUCUCCACUGCAGUAGUCCAGGAGGAAAAGGACAGCCCAGUAACUCGGCUCCCUGCAGGCUCCUGCACAGGCAGCUUCCCUGCUCGUUGGCCACCACCGGCAGAAUGUGAUAUCCCUGCAUCCCCUCCCCAAACAGCCUGCUGCUGCCUGUGUGGUGCAAGCCUGCCAAUAAAGUCCUGAAAGUAUUCCUGUCUCUUGUCUGGCUGCUAGCGCUGUGCUGCUGGAAAGGGGCUGUGUGGUGGCUGGGAGAGGGGCAAAGGGGGCACGAUGGAGUUGGGGGGUGAGAGCCACUGGGGAGAGGGUCCUGGGGUGCGCUGAGCCCCUGAAACUUGACGGGAAGCAAGGCACAGAGGAAGGUGGUGCUGAGCCAGGAGGAAGCAGUCCAGAGGUCUGCGCCCAUCCCUGUGCAUGGGCAUGUGGUGCUGGCUUGUCCCAAAGGUGCUUCUCUGUCGUACUGGGACAAAGGAAGGCACGACUGUGGUCUGAGCAGCGAUGAGGGGAGCAGAAGGGGUUGGGGCGGCUGUUUCUGUCCUUUCUGGCCCCAAACAACAUUGCUGCAGAGCAGCUGGGCUGCAUUCCCAAGUCUGGCACAGACCCUGAUGGUCUCAGCAGCGUUUAAGUUGUUACAUUUUUAUUUUAAAGGAACCUCUUUAAAAAUAAAUGCUUAUCCCUGAGGACUUGGCAAAGGCCAGGAGAGGGAGGACAAAUAAUAAUGAAACAAACAGAAAACUGAAGAUUGAGGCCAGAGCCUCAACCUGCCGUGAGCGGCUCAUCCCUUGGGUACCGUGGGAUGCUGAGGGAGAUGCUGCCAGCGCCCCUUUGUGAGCAGACAGUGGGGCCAGCCCCCCGCCCGUCACCCCUGGCAAUGGGGGGGUUAUCACCACCGCUCACAACGGGCCCCCUUCCCCAGCACCCCCUCCUCACCACCAGUGGGUCGGUGCCGGGGGGCCGAGUAGGUGCGGGGAUGGCGCGGCACCGCCAAGGCCAUGGCAGACGGCACGGGGGGAGUGGCGGUGGCCGGGACAGGGUACCCCCCAGCCGCAGGAACAGGAAAUAUCGGAGGUUUUCCAACAAGCCGCUGAGCAAGAAGAAAGGGUACGUGCGUGUCUGUGCCACCUACUACUACUGGAAAAAGAGAUGAACGUGCCCGCAUCUGCCUCUCCAUCGCCGUGCUCUGCCGGGGCAAGCAAAACCAAGCCCCAGAGCAGCCCAGGAACAGGACCAGCCGCAACACCAAGAGCAGCAUCACCCGCAGGCCCGCGCCCGGCCUCGGCAACAGCACGAGCAUGGAAAAGCUCCCAAUAAACCCCCCCAGGAUGCAGCCAGGGUGUGAUGGGAUGUGGGAUGGGGGAUAGGGGAUGCGAUUGAGGGGACAUGCUGCAAACCACAGCCAGACGCAAGGUUUCCUAGCCAAACUGGGCUCAGAGCACUCUAUGCCAUGUCUCCAUUGCGGAUGGGGGGCCAGAAGGGCAAAAAAUAAAUAAAUCUA